CCUACGGGCGGCAGCAGUGAGGAAUAUUGGUCAAUGGGCGAGAGCCUGAACCAGCCAAGUCGCGUGAGGGAGUACUGCCCUAUGGGUUGUAAACCUCUUUUGUCGGGGAGCAAAAGCCGGACGUGUCCGGCUGUGAGAGUACCCGAAGAAAAAGCAUCGGCUAACUCCGUGCCAGCAGCCGCGGUAAUACGGAGGAGGCGAGCGUUUUCCGGAUUUAUUGGGUUUAAAGGGUGCGCAGGCGGGUUUUUAAGUCAGCGGUAAAAUCGUGGGGCUCAACCCCCUCCCGCCGUUGAAACUGGGGAUCUAGAGUGUGCGAGAGGUAUGCGGAAUGCGUGGUGUAGCGGUGAAAUGCAUAGAUAUCACGCAGAACCCCGAUUGCGAAGGCAGCAUACCGGUGCACAACUGACGCUCAGGCACGAAAGCGUGGGUAUCGAACAGGAUUAGAUACCCUAGUAGUC
rnacentral:rRNA from 1 species